rnacentral:rRNA from 1 species
UACGUAGGGGGCAAGCGUUGUCCGGAAUCAUUGGGCGUAAAGAGCGCGUAGGCGGCCCGAUAAGUCCGCUGUGAAAGUCAAGGGCUUAACCCUUGAAUGCCGGUGGAAACUGUCGGGCUAGAGUCCGGAAGAGGCGAGUGGAAUUCCCAGUGUAGCGGUGAAAUGCGUAGAUAUUGGGAGGAACACCAGUGGCGAAGGCGGCUCACUGGACCGGAACUGACGCUGAGGCGCGAAAGCGUGGGGAGCAAACAGG